GGUCGCAUGUAGGCAUUGCAGGGCCUGGACCAAUCAGUUUAAAUGUAACCCCCUCCUUAGGAAUGACCUAUCACUCCAGCCUGACCUGUUCCCGCCAAUGAAUGAACCAAUCAUGUUUAGGAGUUGUUGUUCAAUUUUCCCGCGCCUCAUAAUGAUUUGUUCUGAUGUAUACAAAGCCCUCCGCCCUCCCCAAAAAGUGUACUUAAGCAGUGCUCAGGCC
rnacentral:lncRNA from 1 species